AUUGAACGCUGGCGGCAUGCUUUACACAUGCAAGUCGAACGGUAACAGGCCUUCGGGUGCUGACGAGUGGCGAACGGGUGAGUAAUGCAUCGGAACGUGCCCAGAGGUGGGGGAUAACGCAGCGAAAGCUGUGCUAAUACCGCAUGUGAUCUGAGGAUGAAAGCGGGGGACCAGGCAGCAAUGUUUGGCCUCGCGCCUUUGGAGCGGCCGAUGUCAGAUUAGGUAGUUGGUGGGGUAAAGGCCUACCAAGCCGACGAUCUGUAGCUGGUCUGAGAGGACGACCAGCCACACUGGGACUGAGACACGGCCCAGACUCCUACGGGAGGCAGCAGUGGGGAAUUUUGGACAAUGGGCGCAAGCCUGAUCCAGCAAUGCCGCGUGCGGGAAGAAGGCCUUCGGGUUGUAAACCGCUUUUGUACGGAACGAAAAGGCUCUGGCUAAUACCUGGGGCUGAUGACGGUACCGUAAGAAUAAGCACCGGCGAACUACGU
rnacentral:rRNA from 1 species